UUACGGGAGCUGAACGAGAUUCGGCUGAGAGGGAACUUCCUGGUUCCGACCGCACCUGAUCCGGAUAAUGCCGGCGUAGGAAUCAGAUACUCU
rnacentral:ncRNA from 1 species